GACCGCGUAGCUCAGUUGGAAGAGCAUUCGGCUAGUAUUCCAAAGGUCGUAGGUUCGAAUCCCGCCGUGGCCA
rnacentral:tRNA from 1 species